UACGGGGGGGGCAAGCGUUGUUCGGAAUUACUGGGCGUAAAGGGCUCGUAGGCGGCCAACUAAGUCAGACGUGAAAUCCCUCGGCUUAACCGGGGAACUGCGUCUGAUACUGGAUGGCUUGAGAUUGGGAGAGGGAUGCGGAAUUCCAGGUGUAGCGGUGAAAUGCGUAGAUAUCUGGAGGAACACCGGUGGCGAAGGCGGCAUCCUGGACCAACACUGACGCUGGGGAGCGAAAGCCAGGGGAGCAAACGGG
rnacentral:rRNA from 1 species